rnacentral:rRNA from 1 species
GACGAACGCUGGCGGCGUGCUUAACACAUGCAAGUCGAACGGAAAGGCCUGUCCUUCCUUGUGUUGGACGGGUACUCGAGUGGCGAACGGGUGAGUAACACGUGAGUGAUCUGCCCCCAACUUGGGUAUAAGCCUGGGAAACUGGGUCUAAUUCCCGAUAGGACUGCAGGGUGGUGCCUGUGGUGGAAAACGAUUUUCUAGUGGUUGGGGAUGAGCUCGCGGCCUAUCAGCUUGUUGGUGGGGUAAUGGCCUACCAAGGCGGCGACGGGUAGCCGGCCUGUGAGGGUGGACGGCCACAUUGGGACUGGGAUACGGCCCAGACUGCUACGGGAGGCAGCAGUGGGGAAUAAUGCACAAUGGGCGGAAGCCUGAUGCAGCGACGCCGCGUGGGGGAUGACGGCCUUCGGGUUGUAAACUCCUUUCGACCGCGAGGAAGCCGCCUGGUUGGAAGGGUGGUGACGGUAGUGGUAGAAGAAGCACCGGCUAACUACGUG